rnacentral:rRNA from 1 species
GAUCCUGGCUCAGGAUGAACGCUAGCGGCAGGCUUAAUACAUGCAAGUCGUGGGGCAGCAGGUCUGUAGCAAUACAGAUGCUGGCGACCGGCAAACGGGUGCGGAACACGUACACAACCUUCCUUUAAGUGGGGGAUAGCCCAGGGAAACUUGGAUUAAUACCCCGUAACAUAUAGAGACGGCAUCGUUUUUAUAUUAUAGCUCCGGCGCUUAAAGAUGGGUGUGCGGCUGAUUAGAUAGUUGGCGGGGUAACGGCCCACCAAGUCGACGAUCAGUAACUGGUGUGAGAGCACGACCAGUCACACGGGCACUGAGACACGGGCCCGACUCCUACGGGAGGCAGCAGUAAGGAAUAUUGGUCAAUGGACGCAAGUCUGAACCAGCCAUGCCGCGUGGAGGAUGAAGGUCCUCUGGAUUGUAAACUUCUUUUAUCUGGGAAGAAAUCCACUUUUUCUAGAGUGGUUGACGGUACCAGAUGAAUAAGCACCGGCUAACUCCGUGCCAGCAGCCGCGGUAAUACGGAGGGUGCAAGCGUUAUCCGGAUUCACUGGGUUUAAAGGGUGCGUAGGUGGGCAAGUAAGUCAGUGGUGAAAUCUCCGGGCUUAACCCGGAAACUGCCAUUGAUACUAUUUGUCUUGAAUACUGUGGAGGUCAGCGGAAUAUGUCAUGUAGCGGUGAAAUGCUUAGAUAUGACAUAGAACACCAAUUGCGAAGGCAGCUGGCUACACAAAUAUUGACACUGAGGCACGAAAGCGUGGGGAUCAAACAGGAUUAGAUACCCUGGUAGUCCACGCCCUAAACUAUGGAUACUCGACAUUUGCGAUAAACUGCAAGUGUCUGAGCGAAAGCAUUAAGUAUCCCACCUGGGAAGUACGACCGCAAGGUUGAAACUCAAAGGAAUUGACGG